GACAGAGGGUGCAAACGUUGUUCGGAAUUACUGGGCGUAAAGCGUGUGUAGGCGGCUUGGCAAGUCGGAUGUGAAAGCCCCGGGCUCAACCCGGGAAGUGCACUCGAUACUGCCGAGCUUGAGUAUCGGAGAGGUGGGUGGAAUUCUCGGUGUAGAGGUGAAAUUCGUAGAUAUCGAGAGGAACACCGGCGGCGAAGGCGGCCCACUGGCCCGGUACUGACGCUGAGGUGCGAAAGCGUGGGGAGCAAACAGG
rnacentral:rRNA from 1 species